rnacentral:tRNA from 1 species
GUUAAUGUAGCUUAGAUCCAAAGCAAGGCACUGAAAAUGCCUAGAUGAGUAUUUAAUACUCCAUAAACA